CCGGCGACCGGCGCACGGGUGAGUAACACGUAUGCAACCUGCCCUCCGCAGGGGGAUAACCCGGAGAAAUCCGGACUAAUACCGCGUGGUACACCAGUGGGGCAUCCCACUGGUGUUAAAAGGAAGUGAUUCCGGCGGAGGAUGGGCAUGCGGCGCAUUAGCUUGUUGGCGGGGUAACGGCCCACCAAGGCGACGAUGCGUAGGGGUUCUGAGAGGAAGGUCCCCCACACUGGUACUGAGAUACGGACCAGACUCCUACGGAAGGCAGCAG
rnacentral:rRNA from 1 species